AUGAACGCUGGCGGCGUGUUUUAGGCAUGCAAGUCGAACGGAUCCGGCGACCGCAAGGAAGUCGGACUAGUGGCAAACGGGAGCGUAACACCCUGGUAACCUGCCCCCAACUGGAGCAUAAUCCGCCGAAAGGCGGACUAAUUCUCCAUACGUUUCUCUGUCUUAUGGCAGAUAAACAAAGGUGCAAAUCGGUUGGGGAGGGGCCUAGGUUCCAUCAGCUAGUUGGUAGGGUAAUGGCCUACCAAGGCUACGACGGAUAGGGGGCGUGAGAGCGCGACCCCCCUCACUGGGACUGAGACACUGCCCAGACUCCUACGGGAGGCUGCAGUCAAGAAUAUUCCCCAAUGGACGCAAGUCUGAGGGAGCGACGCCGCGUGCAGGAAGAAGCCCUUCGGGGUGUAAACUGCUUUUUCACGGGACGAACAAUGACGGUACCGUGGGAAUAAGGGGCUGCUAACUCUGUGCCAGCAGCAGCGGUAAUACAGAGACCCCGAGCGUUAUCCGGAUUUAUUGGGCGUAAAGAGUCUGUAGGCGUUUUGUUAAGUCCUGGGUUAAAGCCCGCCGCUCAACGGCGGUAGGCCCAGGAAACUGGCAGGAUUGAGGCCCGGGAGAGGCAAGCCGGAAUUGCCGGUGUAGUAGUAAAAUGCGUUAAUAUCGGCAAGAACACCAAAGGCGAAGGCAGCUUGCUAGAACGUGCCUGACGCUGAGAGACGAAAGCGUGGGGAGCGAAUGGGAUUAGAUACCCCAGUAGUCCACGCCGUAAACGAUGGAUGCUAGGCAUUGGCAGUAUCGACCCUGUCAGUGUCGUCUAACCAAGUUAACACCUUAAGCAUCCCGCCUGGGGAGUACGGCCGCAAGGCUAAAACUCAAAGGAAUUGACGGGAACCCGCACAAGCGGUGGAGCAUGUGGUUCAAUUCGACACUAAGCGAAGAACCUUACCAAGGCUUGACAUGCCGACGUCCUAUUCUCCUGAAAGGGAGGAAAUUCGCAAGAAGGUCGGCACAGGUGCUGCAUGGCUGUCGUCAGCUCGUGUCGUGAGAUGUUGGGUUAAGUCCUCUAACGAGCGCAACCCUCAUGUUGUGUUAACGUGUUCACAACAAACUGCCUAGGUUAACUAGGAGGAAGGUGGGGAUGACGUCAAGUCAGCAUGGCCCUUAUGCCUUGGGCUACACACGUGCUACAAUGGGGUGUAACAAUGGGGCGCCAAGUCGCAAGACGGAGCCAAUCCCAUCAAACCACCCCCCAGUUCGGAUUGCAGGCUGCAACUUGCCUGCAUGAAGCCAGAAUCGCUAGUAAACGCGCGUCAGCCAUAGUGCGUUGAAUACGUUCUCGGGUUUUGUACACACCGCC
rnacentral:rRNA from 1 species